rnacentral:rRNA from 1 species
AUGUACUAUUGCUUUAAAAGUGUGCUCGGGGCUAUGUUCUAUCGCUAUUGGAUGAUUUAUAAACUUUUUUUUCACCAACGUAUCCUCUGGGAUAAGAUUCAGAAUUUCUGCAUCUUUGGAAAUGGUAUGAAUGGCAACAUUUAUAAAAUUCUAAGCAUAUGGACAUUUAGUUUAGAUACCAUACUCUUUAUCAUGAGUAGCAGUAGCUUUGGAAGCUUACAAUUAUUUUUGGGCAAAGGAUAUAUUCAGAGAAGUAUGCUUCAGAAAAAUGUCUUAUUUAUGAAGGACAAACUGAUUGAUAUAUGA